UACGUAGGGGGCAAGCGUUGUCCGGAAUCAUUGGGCGUAAAGAGCGCGUAGGCUGCCCGAUAAGUCCGCUGUAAAAGUCAAAGGCUCAACCUUUGAAUGCCGGUGGAAACUGUCGGGCUAGAGUCCGGAAGAGGCGAGUGGAAUUCCUGGUGUAGCGGUGGAAUGCGCAGAUAUCAGGAGGAACACCAACGGCGAAGGCAGCUCGCUGGGACGGUACUGACGCUGAGGCGCGAAAGCGUGGGGAGCGAACAGG
rnacentral:rRNA from 1 species